UGGGUGAGGCGUUUUAAGGGUUUGGAGGUAGGUUGAGUCGGCGGGCCGAGCUUGGGGUCGUGGGGGCUACCUGCUGGUGGUCCGGGUCCUAGAGCAGUUCCUCGAGCAGGAGGCGGAGCGGGGGCGGCUUAGGCCGCCGCCCCCGGCGCUGCGCCCGCCGCGCGACGCCAAGCGCGUGGCCGACGAGAGGUCGGCGGAGCGGGGGCGGCAGGAGGGGCUGCUCGUGCGCCAGCGCCUCCGGUAGUUCGCGGCGGAGCGGCGGAGGCCGGCGGGGCUGCUGCGGGAGCGGAAGCGGCUGGAGGUGAGGUUCGAGAGGCGGGCUAGGGCGGGGCGGAGCGAGACCGGGGAGGAGAUGGACGAGCUGAGCGAGAGGAGGGUGGCGGCGCCCCGGCGGCGGAGGAGGACGGAGGGGUUGGAGGGGCGGCGGCGCGGCCGCCGCCGGCCCCCGUUCGUCCGGAGCGCCCACGGGCCGUGCGGCCGGCCGCCGCACCACGACCAGAGGUUCCUAGGCCUGUUGUAGGCGCUCUAGCGCGACGCCCUCAUGUGGCUCGACCACGAGCUGCUCUGCCUCCACAGCCUCCGGCGCGACCACGCGCUGCACGAGAUGCGGACGGUCCCGUAACUGCCGGCCAUGCAGGCCAUACUGUUCCGGUCGCUGUGGAUGCUGGAUGGACUCCCGCAGGCGCACGGCGCGAGGUGAGCGUGGGACCAUGCGUUCGACACACUCCAGCCCACCGACAAGGCGUUCCACGCUCCGAAGUAGAGGCUGUUACAUUCGGCGAACGGGAGAGUACGGCGGUGGCUCCAGCCGUGACAACGAGUCCGGAAGACGAGUCGAGAUGUCCUCCUUGAUAGACUAAUGAUGUUCGACGAACGGCAAGAUCUCAGUAUAAGCAAUUUAGGUUAAGGUUGUGGACCUAGACUAAGCCCACACAGUCCGUUAAUGGAGAGUGACGCCGCAGAACAACACACCGAACGACUCGGAUGUCACUCUUACGCGAAUUACCGACAGAACCACCUACCUACGGCACCGAACUCUCCGCCACCUUACCGACCACGCUAGGUACCCGUACGUGUCGUACCCCUAGGGUACCAAGUUCUAAAAUACCCGGCAAACGACGCCGCUCACACGAGCGGUGACAAACUUUACCAAGCUUCGACCCACGAACUUCCACUUAACCUCCUACAUAAACCGCUCAAGAAGUAGCAACCCGUCGGUCAGUUCCGACUUAGAAACACCGCCCUCCCGAUGGAAUAAGUCAGACUAUACGAUGGCAGAAAGUAAAGAGGCCACGACCGUGUCGCCUAGGAAUCUUGCCCCUUCAGUUAGUUGAAAGAGUCUCGAACGACACUACUAUUACCAACCCGACUCCGACGGUGACUCCGACGUCGGAUACAACCGUGGUGUUGUUCAGCUCCACCCGAACCAAUACCCGUCUAACUACGAAACCUCCGUAACCACCAUCUUCGUCGGUUCUCCUAACUAGUUGCAGACUACCUGCACUAAGUAUUCGCUAUAGCUAAAUUUCUAGUAACAGAACGAUAGUUCUCCAUAAACGAAGAACCCGUCCCACUAAAACAAGUCAUAGACUACCUACAACAACCAGGACUCAACAGUCUUGGUCGGUUAUCUUAAUCGGGGAAGGUGGAACGACCGAACGAACUUUGACGUUAUGCACGUAGACUGCGUGUUAUACUACUGGCACUGUAGAACCUGGCCUAUUUUCAUUUCUACUACCUAGUGCCUCUACCACUACAACCGACCCUACAGAAGAGGAACCUCAUACUACGAUCCCAGGGAGACCUGUGCCACAAGUGUCGAAGUCAGUACUUCUACAUGGAGUUCUAUAAGUUGAAGGAUACCUUCGAAUUCGCACAACUGGUAAGAAACUGGCCUCAGACCUUCUGUUACUUCGGAUUAACGUAAGAAAGAAGAGGUAAAAUGUUCCUUCCCUGUUCGUAGUCCCGAGUCAAACAAAGUCAAGAAGCCUUUACGGUUCAAGACAAAUUACUUUACUUGGUAAAACACUGGUUGAAGGUCAUGAUGUAAUACAAGCUCCAGGAUCUCCAAAGGACCCGAGCAAAAAGUCUUCUUUACCUACGUCGUUUUCUAAAUCUGCUAGAAGAGUACCCUGUACUAUUCAUAGAGUGAAGUUAACACCUCUUCAGAGAGGACCCACUCGCUAGGGACCCUUAAAACUCUUUAGAAAAACGGAACAAACUGUAGUAUAAUGUCAAGGCGUCGGUACGACUAUCCACCAAACUUGCCUAUAUGCUCAACGUUGAUUCCCCUUUCCCAUUUAGCUUUUGUUUUUGGUUCCUUUGUCCAAGUACCGACCUCCCCCCGUCUUUUCGAUACUAAGUUGAGCGCCCCCUUGAAAAAGACUUUUACCCACUUCUAAACCUGUCGUAACGUUUUCUAAUAUGUCGAAGAGAACUAAGUAAAUAUAGGGUCAACGGGGACGUCGUCGUACAACUAAAUUUCAAGGAAGAGAAGGCAAAUCUGAAGUGACUUAUGAUGUCGGCACAAAGCAGGUUGUUUACUCACACACGAAGAUAACACCUUCUUUAUCCACAAUCUAAAUGAAAAACCAAACCUAAACACUCCAUAAGAACACAUAUGCCAUCGGGGUGACCAACUAUAUAACAGUCAAGUUGCCGUACUCGUGUAAGUCGACAGGACCCGACAACUUCUACAAAUAGGUGGCUACGGUACUUCAACCUUGGACGUAAUAUUCGUUACAAUCGCAUGUCUCAACUAUAACGUGCCUCUAAAUAGGAAUGGUCGAAAAGACAUCAAUGUUCUCUUACUCUUAGACUAAACCGACCAACGACACAAACGACCGAUGGUUUUAACAAUGGUUUGAUAGUAUCCUAGGGUACAGAUGAAUAUUGAAUGUUCCUCUCAAUGAAAAACCAAUGGAAUUACGAAAUACAGUUC
rnacentral:rRNA from 1 species